GGACAGUUGGCCGAGCGGUUAUGGCGCUAGUUUCAGGUACUAGUUCGAAAGAGCGAGGGUUCGAAUCCCUCACUGUUCA